AGACGCCUGGAACCCUAGUGUUCCCACACGUGGAAAUCUCCGUUAUUUUCCGCACCCAAGACGUCGGUGAUGAGAGGAGCGCAGUUGGUGGUGUUUACCCCUCAGAAGAUUUGAGCUGUGUGUACUCCACCCAGGUCGCACGCUUUCCCCCGGCCGACGGGACAUGGGACGCUCCAACACUGAACCCUCUCCGGGCCGAAGCCUGCGCGCCACUUUUCGCCGCUGGGGAUUGAGACGCUGAGCCACCCGGAAGUGGUGUCUGGUCGGCGCGCAUGCGCGGCGGGAAUACUAUGGCAGGCGAUCCCAGCACCGGCCGCGGACAGUCCGGUACUUCGCUGUAGCUCAGGUUUAGCGGCUGCGCCUCUUCUCUGCACCGCCCUUCCCCGACCUUCUAAUCCUCUAUUCGAUGUCGUUUUACCGACCGCUGCUUCACUUUCCCGCGCCGUCUUGCACCUUCAUCCCACCUAGGAUCAUGGCGACAGCUGAGGACAUGCUUGGACCAGCUUGAUGGCUCAGUGAAUAAAGGAACUUGCCUGAGUUCGAUUCGUGGUAUCCACAUGAUGGGAGGAAAGAACCAACUGAAAGAUAAUCCUGUGACUUCCUCAAGCCUGCUGUCCCCCAAUCCCUCUCCAAAUACUUUAGAAGAAAACAAGCAAUUCAAUUAUGACUUUUUAAAAGGGGCCUUUAAGGAACAACAAAAAAUCUAACAACCAGAGUUUGGGUUACACCAUCGUGUUUAAAUGGCUUGCCGAUUUACAUGUUUUAUAAAUGAUGCUAUUUAGAUGCCAACAAAUCCAGCUUUAAGGGCUCUACCUAUAUUGGGCAUUAUAAAUACUGGUGAAUUAUCCUUCAGCGCCUUGAUAUACGUCACACAGUCACCUUUGCUACAAUGCACUCUGGGCUUCCAAGUCUUUCACUGAAAGGCAGCUAAGUAGGUACAAGGCAUGCCCCUGAAGGGCACCUGGUGAAGGUGGGUGACCCAGGUUGCCACAGGACAUAGAUCAGCUAGCCAGACCCUCAGGUUCCAAACCAAUCUGGUGGCUCCCGCAAGCUUCCACCCCAUCCUUUCAUGACCGCGUGGACUACACUUUCCAUCAAGAAGCAGACUCCCAACAGCAUGUUAAAACAGACAUGCCUAGGGAGGCAGCAAGGUGGCUCAGUGGCAUGGGCACUCACAAGCAAGCAUAAGGACUUAAGUUUGGUAGCCUGAACCCACACAACAGAAAUGAUUUCCACAGUUGUCUUCUUGUGCAAACAUAAAUGAACUGGAAAGAUGGUUCGGCAGUUAAUAGAACUUGAUCUUCCAGAGGACCCAAGUUCUGUCCUAGCUAGCACACAAUAGCACUCAGGCCGGGCAGCUGAAAAUCACCUGACUCCAGCUCCAGGUAGUCUGAUGUGUCUCAGUUCAUCUAUACUUACAUGCAUACAAUACACAUACACACACACCAAAAAGCCAAACAUGGUGUGCACAUCUUGACUUUCAGUCUAGCUGGGGCCUUCUAUUGAGACAUUGUACCAAAAAAACGGACAAAGAUGCUUGGGGUCCAAAACUUUCUCAGUGGGCUUAAACAGAACGUGGCAAUUUAGUAAUACAAUGUAUAGCACAAUCGCUGACCCUAUCCCAAAGCAUGCACCACAACUGCAUUAUGGGAUUUACUGUCCACUGCUCAAAAGGCAGCGAGGUGUGACUGAAAAAAAGAAGGAAGACAUGCUUUUUCGAGAAAAUGAGCCACAGUAUUGGAGUCUCCAGGGAAACAAGCAAUAGGAUGUAAAUAACCAGACAGAUGGAGUCUUUAAGGGAAUUACAUGUGAGACCCCGGGGACUCACAAGUCAGAAAUCUCCAGGCCAGGUCAGCAGGCUGGGAGUUUGGGAGCAACGUAAUUUCUAGUUCUGAGUUCCAGCAGGCUGGAAACGGGAGAUUUUAUGCUGUGGGCAUUAGGAUCCAGUGUUUCAAUAGUGCUGUCUCUACUCUGAAACUUGAUACUACUGUUGUGUUUGUCUGUUUUUGUCUCCCUAGACAACCAGCCAGUUGAAAUCAUUCAAUGUGUAUAGUCCUUUACAUGCUAAUAUGCAUCUAAAUCUUGUAUUUCCACAGCUUUUUUUUUUCUUUUGUUUGUUUGUUUCUUGAUUUAACAGUCCUAGCCAUCCGAGAACUCACUCCACAGACCAGGUUGGCCUUGAGCUCACUGAGAUCUACCUGCUGCUGCCUGCUGAGUACUCGAAUUAAAGAUGUGCACUACCACUGUA